UGAGGGUAUCUCUUGCAGGAGAUCCCUACCUACUGGAGGCCUUCCAAAGACCAUCUGUCAUUAAUGAGGAAAGUAACUCGGAUAGUGGCCUGGUUCUUCACAAUGGUUUCAACAAAAAGAAAAUGAAGGUGUCAUUUCCAGCUGCACGUAGAAAAUGGUUGACAAGAAUUCUGACAGUUUUAUAGUACUUAAGGACUGGAUAGGGCAGGAUAAUUCUGAGACUAUUGCAUCACGAAAUCAAAUUGAAAAGGCCAUUACAAGUUGUCACUUCUGGUUGUUGUUGGCUUGGGUUUGCAGUGGUCCCAUACGCAGCUGUUUGUAAAGUCACAAGCCACGUGAAGUGUCUGGAAACGUGUCAUUCUUGCAGCUCCUGUGCUUGAUAGAUGCCUGCAAAAUUCCAUCACACUUUUGCAUGGACCUGUUUGGGUCUCAGGGAGAGAAGGUUUCAGCCUCUUAAGACCAAAGAUUUAUAUCCAAGAAGCUCUAUUGGCCCUGCACCAACGAUUACAAGUCUGCAAACUGUUGCAAGCCGGUGGCACUUGAUUGAUACAACAUAGAAGGAAUUUCUGCUAUGUAUUGGAUUGCAUUUUGAAUACAGAAUAUCUGUGGAGAGUUUUUCUUCCCAGGGAAAUUAUUGGAAGUCCUAAAUUCUUCUGAAAUAUAUUUUUGAAAGAUGUGGGAUUAACAGUUAUGUCUAGAAAGCAUGAAGGAUGAUUUUGUCAAAUCCAGUAAUCACACCAUGCUUUAUUUAGUGAGAAAGAAAAUUUGGUUGAGAUUAUUGAAAAAUGGAUAAUUAAAGCCUUCUUUGUAUAGAAAAGGCUGAUUUGUCUAAGUGCAAAGAUACAGCAUGUUUAUUAAGAGGAUGACUGAUAAAUCUUCUCAUUUUUAUAAGCAGCAAUAAAUAUAUUGCUUCUGUUUUUUCUUCUACUGAUAUGUAAUUUAUAAAUCUCUUUUGAAUUCAAAGCAUUACAGUACCUUGGGUGGUAAUGGUACACAUGCUUCAUGUUUCCAAUGAGAUAGCCCUUGCUCUGCUGAGGUGAUUUGCUAAUAAUGUCCUGUGCUUUUUUGCUAUAAUUUAACCAGUUCCUUCCGCAGAGAGAAUAUAGUGGUGAGAGGAAAUGUGUCUGAAAAUGUGAGUAAAGAAUUAAAUUAAGACUCUUAGAAUGUCAUUUCUGGAUUGUUUUUCAUCAUUAACUUCCAUCAUUUUUUGCUUCUCUUUGUUUGAACGUUAAUGUUUUCUAGAAAUGUAUAGAAUAUACUAAGAAAAUAUAUAGAAGCCAAAGCAUAGACCACAAAUGAGAUGAGAUUCUUUUGCAAAUUAGAAAUCAAGCGUUUGGGACUAAGGAAGUUACAGCAGCAUCCAAUAUCUUUGUCCAUCACGUUUUCAGCUCCUAUUUGACUAGACUUUGAAUCAUCCCCACAUACGUAACCAAGUGAAUCUUAACAGGGCAUGUAUUCUUUGCUGUUGGAAAGGGGAAAAUUCACUCUUUUCCAUUACAUUGCCGGUCCUGUAAUUGAAUUAACACAAAAUGAUGCCUGUACCUAUUUGAAAUAAGUGCAUCUCUGCAUAGAAAUAUGGAUUUGACUUCUUUUGAGUGCUCCGCAUUUAUAGUCUUUGAUUUAAUGGCAUGUAAAGUAAUUUUGAUCACCCAAACCUGGAUUCUAAGAAUUUGUCAAAUGACUAAAAUUGUGCAUUUUAACUGUCUUUGCGUGCUUCUAGAUUCUAUCAGUUCAUCUUGGACUGACUUCCUUUCUUUAGGGAUUGAGUACGGUCAAAAUACAUCAUAUUUGCCAUAGGCUAGACUGUAUAAUCGUUCACUCAUUUGUCUUAGUUGACAAGGGUAGUUUGUUAAGCAAAGGAAUUUGAAUGUAUGCCUGAAUCUGGGGGCACUUAGGAAAACUCUUGGGUAUUACCAGAUUUACAAUAAAAUUCUGAGUUUUCAAAUCCAUUUUAUUAUUCUAAAUUAAGAAAUAUUAAGAAUAUCUGCUGGGCAGGAGUAGGAGUUCUUGAGUUACAUUGUUCAUAAAUAUUCUGUAGUUUUACACAGAGAAGAUUGAAUCAAGAUUAGUUUCAGAUGUAUCAUUUUAGAGUUAUGUAAGGAGACAACUAAAUGUGGACUGUCUUCCUGCAUGAAAAUGGGAGCAUACAUGCAGUAAUGUCAUAUCUAUUGCUUAAGUGCAGCACUGACAUUCUUCUAUUGUGAGUUAAAUGAAAUGCUGCACAAUUAUUAGAUCUACUCUUCGAGUUACUUCUUCAACUACUCUUAUUAGAAGUCAUUCAAAUAAAACAUAAAAGCUCAAUUUAGAACUUUGUGAAUAUACUGAAAAUAAAUCAUUGCAUUUUACAACUUUGAAAGUAAUUACUGAAUUCUAUUGCUAAAGUCUGUGGAAGUGGGUUUGACAGAUUUUCUCUAAAUUACUCAACCACCUACAGGUAUUACUGCCGAGAGUCUUUUGAAAUGAGAAUAAAUUUUAUGGAGUUACAACAGCAAAGUGAAAGAGUAUGUUUGAUAGAUUCUCUGAACAGUUUCAACACCCACAGGUAUUAUUUGUAAGAAAACAAUCAUGCAGAGUCCUCAGCUGGUUAGAGAGGGCACAGCUUUCCAUCUUCACCUGACAUCCUAUCUGUUCUCUCCACAUCCUGUGCCCCCUGCCUACCACCCACUCCUCCUAAAACAAUGCUCACUAAGAGAGUUUUGUGUGAAUGGACAAGAAUAUGAAUGUUUUUUCAAAGAAUCUGAACAGUAUAGAAAACACAUUCUUUGUGGGUGACGAAAAGGCUUGAGAUGGGAGAAGAAAAACUGUCAUAAGGAUUGAUUAGUAUUCUUCACUUUCUUUCCUAAUUAAUCAUUGUUAUUCUUUAAUUGUUGUAAACACUCAAAGGUAAUUACUCGUUUAAAACCUGAACAUAAGAAAAAAAAACACCCUAAAAGAUAAAAUUGAAAACUAUAUUCGUUUUAUUUUUGUCUUUUUUAUUUGAUUCACAAAUACUAUUUUGUGAUUUGGUGCAACUUUUCCUCAAUAUUUCUAAACAAUUGAGUCCUGAAAUAUUCAACGGGAGUUUUUUUUUAAAUCAGUGCGUGAAUGUUAGCUGUUAGCUGUUUAAAUUUUAACGAGGGCCCUGUGUCUGUAAAAGAGACAUUAUAUAAUUGUGCACUUCUUGAAGACUUUUCCAUGCUAUAAUUCCCUUAAAUUAAUUUUUGUUUAUUCAAAUAAUGCCCAAAAGAUCCCAAAAGAUGAGGCCUGUUUACAGU